rfam:Schistosoma rodhaini strain Burundi genome assembly, scaffold: SROB_scaffold0000319
AUCCAGCUGAAGAAUCCCAAACACGAUGGAACGCGCGUGCUGGAU